ACGCACUUACCUCUACAGACUUUGCAGCAUCUGCCACUCAAUGUGAUCUGCUCGGACUCAGGACACUGGAGUUCUGGGCACGGCUCGCUGGGGACCACUCGGCGCAUCGUCCUGUCCUGUGACGGCCAGAAAAAUCGCACGCGCCCUUCACAUAGGCCGGCAACGUGCCCGCCAGGCACUGAGGAUGAGGGCAGGAGAUGGCCUCGCACUGCACCGUGCCGUUCUGCCAGAGGAAAAGGAAAAAAAUAAUAACACCAAGCACUGUUUGAGGAGAACGUUCUUCACCCACCGAUGUGGGAGGAAAGCGAAGUGCCCACCCGGAACAAACCCACGAAACCACGCGGAGAACAUGCAAACUCCACACAGGCGGGUCCGCGAUCGAACCCGGGACCUCAGAACUGCGAGGCCAACGCUUUCCAGCUGAGCACCGUGCCGCCCAUUAUUAAUACAAUAAUGUUUAUUCAA